rnacentral:rRNA from 1 species
AAUUUCGAUAACGAACGAGACCUUAGCCUGCUAAAUAGGAUCGGGAACUUUUUUGUUCUCGCAUCACUUCUUAGAGGGACUUUGCGUGUCUAACGCAAGGAAGUUUGAGGCAAUAACAGGUCUGUGAUGCCCUUAGAUGUUCUGGGCUGCACGCGCGCUACACUGAUGCAUGCAACGAGUUUUUGACCUUGGCCGGAAGGUCUAGGUAAUCUUUUGAGUAUGCAUCGUGAUGGGGAUAGAUUAUUGCAAUUAUUAAUCUUCAACGAGGAAUGCCUAGUAGGCGCAAGUCAGCAGCUUGUGCCGAUUACGUCCCUGCCCUUUGUACACACCGCCCGUCGCUGCAACCGAUCGGAGGGUCCUGUGAACUCGAUGGACUGUCCAUCCCCUUCUUGGGGUUGGGCUGGAAGUUGCGUAAAUAGAGCCCUCUAAAGGAUGCAAAAGUCGUAACACGGUUUCCGUAGGUGAACCUGCGGAAGGAUCAUUC